rnacentral:rRNA from 1 species
UACGUAGGGUGCAAGCGUUGUCCGGAAUUACUGGGCGUAAAGAGCUCGUAGGCGGCUCGUCGCGUCGACCGUGAAAACCCGCGGCUUAACUGCGGGCUUGCGGUUGAUACGGGCGGGCUAGAGUUCGGUAGGGGAGACUGGAAUUCCUGGUGUAGCGGUGAAAUGCGCAGAUAUCAGGAGGAACACCGGUGGCGAAGGCGGGUCUCUGGGCCGAUACUGACGCUGAGGAGCGAAAGCGUGGGGAGCGAACAGG